rnacentral:lncRNA from 1 species
AGUCCCGGCUAGGGACACAGCUCUUAGACUUUGAGCUAGACAACCAGGAGGACAGGAGGACCUAGUAUCCUGCCUCCAUCAGCCCAUCAUUUAUGCAAAUGCUACUUAGUUGCCGUCUAGAUGCAGGAUGCUGUCUGCCCUGUUAAAUGCUGUGUGAACCCAGAUGGAAGCUGAGCAGACAUCACACUCGUGAGCAGCUCCCCUUCCUAUGUUAUACGACCUCGUUCGCUGAAGUCAAAGAUGCAGAGGGGCCAAGGUGUGGGCUCCGGACCUCACACCAGUGUGGCAGAUUCAACAAGCCCAGAAUAAGCCUCUUCCUUUGCUCACAAUAAGAUUAAGCCAACUGCCUCUUCAUUCCUCAGUCACACUCCUCCUCUGACCCUGCUCCAGGAGGCUCAUCUUGUCAGACUUCACACUGAAUGAGCGCUGAGGAUGCUGUAGAGUAUGAGCUGUGUGCAGGUGAUAGCAGUGGAAAGAAGACUAAGACAGACUCCAUCUAGAAACCAGAAUGACCUCUUUUAUGGAAAAAGAGACUGUAUCACUCGUGUUUCUACCCACAAAAACCUCCACUGUGAGCUCUCUCUCACCUAGGCAGGAGUCUGCAUGGCCCCGCUCUUGCCACAUCGCCAACCCCAGCCUUUGUCACUCUCUCAUAACCACUCUGUCCCUGUACAGAUACAUGAUCUGUUCCUCCCACACAUCAGCUCUUCCUGACGCUGGGCCUUUGCAUAUGUUCUUCUGCCUCAUGCCUUUCCUCCUCUUCCUGCAGGAUUGCUAUCUUCUGGUCCUGUACUCCUCAAGCUCAAAGGCCAACGUCCUGGCAUUUGUGUGACGGCUUUUGCCCUACCCUGCAGAAUUUGCAAUAGGCAGUCUCUACAUGUACUCAGGGCCCAGUGGGCAUUCAACAUGUUCAUUGAAUGACAA